ACGGCCAUACCAUGCUGAAUAUAAGGGUUCUCGUUAGAUCACCGAAGUCAAGCAUCAUUGGGCGCGGUCAGUACUUGGGUGGGGGACCACCUAGGAACACCGCGUGCCGUU
rnacentral:rRNA from 1 species